rnacentral:rRNA from 1 species
GACGAACGCUGGCGGCGUGCUUAACACAUGCAAGUCGAACGAAGAGCGACGGAAGCUUGCUUCUAUCAAUCUUAGUGGCGAACGGGUGAGUAACGCGUAAUCAACCUGCCCUUCAGAGGGGGACAACAGUUGGAAACGACUGCUAAUACCGCAUACGAUCUAACCUCGGCAUCGAGGAUAGAUGAAAGGUGGCCUCUACAUGUAAGCUAUCACUGAAGGAGGGGAUUGCGUCUGAUUAGCUAGUUGGAGGGGUAACGGCCCACCAAGGCGAUGAUCAGUAGCCGGUCUGAGAGGAUGAACGGCCACAUUGGGACUGAGACACGGCCCAGACUCCUACGGGAGGCAGCAGUGGGGAAUCUUCCGCAAUGGACGAAAGGCUGACGGAGCAACGCCGCGUGAGUGAUGACGGCCUUCGGGUUGUAAAGCUCUGUUAAUCGGGACGAAAGGCCUUCUUGCGAAUAGUGAGAAGGAUUGACGGUACCGGAAUAGAAAGCCACGGCUAACUACGUG